rnacentral:tRNA from 1 species
GUUGUGGCUCAGAGGUAGAGCUCUUGUUUAGCACGCGUAAGGUACUGGGUUCGAUCCUCAGCACACA